rnacentral:rRNA from 1 species
GUUGAAACACCAGUUCCGUACGAUCAUCGAAGUUAAGCAACGUCGAGCCUGAUCAGUACCUAGAUGGGUGACCGCUUGGGGAAUGCCAGGUACAG